AAGAGACGCAUUUAUUAGAUAAAAAGCCAGUUCAUGCUUUUAUAGUAUGAAAAUUGGUGAUUUAUAAUAACUUAGCAAAUCGCAAAGUGAAAACAGGCGAUAAAUCAUUCAAGUUUCUGACCUAUCAGCUUUCGACGGUAUGGUAUUGGCUUACCGUGGCAGUGACGGUUAACGGGGGAUUAGGGUUCGAUUCCGGAGAGGGAGCCUGAGAAACGGCUACCACAUCUAAGGAAGGCAGCAGGCGCGCAAAUUACCCAAUUCUAACAGUUUGAGAGAGGUAGUAACAAGAAAUAACAAUACAAGGCAGUUAAAAUGCUUUGUAAUUGGAAUGAUAGAAAUUUAAACCCUUUUUAAAGUAUCAAUUGGAGGGCAAGUCUGGUGCCAGCAGCCGCGGUAAUUCCAGCUCCAAUAGCGUAUAUUAAAAUUGUUGCAGUUAAAAAGCUCGUAGUUGAAGUUCUGCUGAAAGUAACCGGUCUGCUUUUAAUAAAAGUGGUAUCUUGGUAUGUAUUUAGCAAUGAUGUCCUUUGAAGUGUUUUUUACUUUAUUGUAAUAAAGCAUAUUCAGGACUUUUACUUUGAGAAAAUUAGAGUGUUUCUAGCAGGCUAACGCUUUGAAUACUGCAGCAU
rnacentral:rRNA from 1 species